GAUGAACGCUGGCGGCGUGCCUAAUACAUGCAAGUAGAACGCUGAAGCUUGGUGCUUGCACCGAGCGGAUGAGUUGCGAACGGGUGAGUAACGCGUAGGUAACCUGCCUCUUAGCGGGGGAUAACUAUUGGAAACGAUAGCUAAUACCGCAUAACAGUCGAUAUCGCAUGAUAUUGAUUUGAAAGGUGCAAUUGCAUCACUAAGAGAUGGACCUGCGUUGUAUUAGCUAGUUGGUGAGGUAACGGCUCACCAAGGCAACGAUACAUAGCCGACCUGAGAGGGUGAUCGGCCACACUGGGACUGAGACACGGCCCAGACUCCUACGGGAGGCAGCAGUAGGGAAUCUUCGGCAAUGGGGGCAACCCUGACCGAGCAACGCCGCGUGAGUGAAGAAGGCUUUCGGAUCGUAAAGCUCUGUUGUAAGAGAAGAACGAGUGUGAGAGUGGAAAGUUCACACUGUGACGGUAACUUACCAGAAAGGGACGGCUAACUACGUGCCAGCAGCCGCGGUAAUACGUAGGUCCCGAGCGUUAUCCGGAUUUAUUGGGCGUAAAGCGAGCGCAGGCGGUUAGAUAAGUCUGAAGUUAAAGGCUGUGGCUUAACCAUAGUACGCUUUGGAAACUGUUUAACUUGAGUGCAGAAGGGGAGAGUGGAAUUCCAUGUGUAGCGGUGAAAUGCGUAGAUAUAUGGAGGAACACCGGUGGCGAAAGCGGCUCUCUGGUCUGUAACUGACGCUGAGGCUCGAAAGCGUGGGGAGCAAACAGG
rnacentral:rRNA from 1 species